rnacentral:lncRNA from 1 species
ACUUUAUAUCUCCUAAAUUAUAAACUGAAGAUUUUAAACAUAUCAUUAGAAUCAAAAGUAUGAAAAAUAGGGAAGAAGGGAGGUCAAAUUAAAAUUUCAAAAAGACAAAGUAUUAAAAAAAUCAAUAGAAAAUUGUAUCAAGUCAAAUGCCUAAUAUCUUAAUAUUAAAAAAUAUGUAUAAGAUUUCAAAUCCACCACUAGGAUCUUAGAUCUUUAAAAUAGAAGGAUAUGUCAAAUCAAACUUUAAAAUUUCUAUCAAUAUGCAAAGUAAAUUCAUAAGUCAAAAUAGUCAAAUACUUAAUAUCUAUAAUUAUAUGCACUUUUAAAAACUUCAAGUAUAUAUUUAUAAUAGACAACCUCUAAAUGAUCCCAAUAGGCUUGUCAAAAAUUUAAAAAAUCUUUGUAUGGCAAAAGCCAAAAUUUUAAAAUCCAAGUCAAAGUAGCUGUAUGUCCCAAACUAUGAACUUGUACAUGAAAAUAAUUAUACCAUUAAAAUUAUAGAUACCAUGAAUGAAAUAGGUUGAUGAAUUCGAAAUUUAAAAAUACUAGGAUCCAAAAAUUAGGCACACCCUUAUAAUUAUAAAUUCUAAAUCCUAAACACUAACUCUUUAUCUAUUCAAAAUAAAAUAUACCACUUUUUAGGUAUUUAAAGGAUAUUUUGAAAUAAUAACUUACUUAAUUGUCAAACAUCAUAAUCAUAACAAAUGAAUGGAUGAAAUUAUAAUAAUUCAACUUUCAUCUAUAUAAAACUUAUUUAUAUAUAGUCUAAAUAAAAUAUAUCAUACUAUUUUAGAAUAUCCAUCUACGGCCCUACAACGUAUUAAAACAAAACAAAACACUAAAGUCAAGUUGCUACAAAAGUCAGCUCUAUACAUACAUCAAAAGUUAAUUUAUGCACAUUUCAAAAAAAUAUGUAUUUUUAGAAAAAUCUAAAACCAUCAAUGGAUUCUCUAUGCCUUAAUUAUGAGGAGUAAGUUUAUUCAAAAUUUGAAAAUAAUGAGUUCUUCAAUCCAAGGAUUUCAAAAUCAACAUUAAAUGUACAAAGUCAAAUCCUUAAUAUCUUUCAAAUAAAAUAAGCAUAAGUAAAUUUUAUUACACUAUUAAAAUUACAAUCCUCAAAAUUUGAAGGGAAGAAGAAGAGAGAGGAGGUAGGGAGGUAACUACCUACAAAUUUCAAAAUUACAAAAAUAUAAGAAUUUAUCAAUCCCAAAGUCUAUUAUUAAAACCUUUACAUCAUCCAAAUUGUAUAUUUUUUAGAAAAACUAC